rnacentral:lncRNA from 1 species
GUUCUUCUUCAUCAUCCAAGAUCCAGCUCCUUCCUGCCUUCUUUAAGAAGCCUUCAUGGACCUCUCCCCUGGGUUAUGCCAUCAUAGCCACUCCAUGCAAUUCUCUCUCAUAGCACUUAUCUUGCUACAUUGAACUGUCUGUCUCUCUAACAGAGUGUGAGCCCGCCUUGAAGCUGGAAGUGAGGCUCCAGGCUGGUGGCAUUGUCCUGGGCUGAACUGUCUCCUGAAAUUCCCAUGUUGAAGCCCUAACCCCUAGUACCACAGAAUGAGACUGUAUUUGGAGGUAGGGUCUUCACAGAGGAAAUUAAGUUAAAACAAGGUCAUUACGAUGGCCCUUGGUCCCACCUGGCUGGUGUCCUUAUGAGAAGAGAUGAGGACACAGACACGCACAGAGAGAAGACCACGUGAAGACACAGGGAGAAGAUGGAGAGAGGCAUCAG